GGAGAAGUACCCAAGUGGCUGAAGGGGUCCCUCUGCUAAGGAGAUAGGAUCUAUUGGCUGCACAGGUUCGAAUCCUGUCUUCUCCGCCA
rnacentral:tRNA from 1 species